rfam:Wolbachia endosymbiont of Drosophila simulans gdsi_422, whole genome shotgun sequence.
CCAGAUGUUUUCGCCAUCUGAGUCUACGCAUCAGUGCGAAUUAGGGUAACCAGUUGGUGCCGAGCGACGCGGACAAUGAACCUCCUCUUGAUAAAGAAGAUGCUCAAUCGUGAGAGAAAGCAUAAACUACAAGCAUCAUGUGGUUGGAGGG